UACAGAGGGGGCAAGCGUUGUUCGGAAUUACUGGGCGUAAAGGGCGCGUAGGCGGCCCGCUAAGUCGAACGUGAAAUCCCCGAGCUCAACUCGGGAACUGCGUCCGAUACUGGCGGGCUUGAAUCCGGGAGAGGGAUGCGGAAUUCCAGGUGUAGCGGUGAAAUGCGUAGAUAUCCGGAGGAACACCGGUGGCGAAGGCGGCAUCCUGGACCGGCAUUGACGCUGAGGCGCGAAAGCUAGGGGAGCAAACGGG
rnacentral:rRNA from 1 species